rnacentral:lncRNA from 1 species
CUGCUUCUGAUAAAGGGAAGAUCUCCAGCUCCCCCAUCGGUUCUGUCCUGGCCUCUGUUUUCUCAUCCCGAACCUCUAGAACUUCCGAGUCAAAAGCUUUUCCAGUGGAGCUUGGUUCUGCUACUGUGGCUAAGUAUACUGCUCUUGCCUCUUCCUGGCUGCCCCGGACUAUUCCCACUCCUUCUUCUAUUGGAAAUUUAAGCGCCAAAUACCUGAUACUGG